rnacentral:hammerhead_ribozyme from 1 species
UUCCGGCUGACGAGUCCCGAAUAGGACGAAACGCGCGUCCUGAAU